rnacentral:rRNA from 1 species
AGAUAAGCCAUGCAUGUCUAAGUAUAAGCAAUUAUACCGUGAAACUGCGAAUGGCUCAUUAAAUCAGUUAUCGUUUAUUUGAUAGUACCUUACUACUUGGAUAACCGUGGUAAUUCUAGAGCUAAUACAUGCUGAAAACCCCAACUUCGGGAGGGGUGUAUUUAUUAGAUAAAAAACCAACGCCCUUCGGGGCUUCUUGGUGAUUCAUGAUAACUUCACGGAUCGCAUGGCCUUGCGCCGGCGACGGUUCAUUCAAAUUUCUGCCCUAUCAACUUUCGAUGGUAAGGUAUUGGCUUACCAUGGUUUCAACGGGUAACGGGGAAUUAGGGUUCGAUUCCGGAGAGGGAGCCUGAGAAACGGCUACCACAUCCAAGGAAGGCAGCAGGCGCGCAAAUUACCCAAUCCCGACACGGGGAGGUAGUGACAAUAAAUACUGAUACAGGGCUCUUUUGGGUCUUGUAAUUGGAAUGAGUACAAUUUAAACCUCUUAACGAGGAACAAUUGGAGGGCAAGUCUGGUGCCAGCAGCCGCGGUAAUUCCAGCUCCAAUAGCGUAUAUUAAAGUUGUUGCAGUUAAAAAGCUCGUAGUUGAAACUUGGGCCUGGCUGGCAGGUCCGCCUCACCGCGUGUACUUGUCCGGCCGGGCCUUUCCUUCUGGAGAACCUCAUGCCCUUCACUGGGUGUGUUGGGGAACCAGGACUUUUACUUUGAAAAAAUUAGAGUGUUCAAAGCAGGCCUUUGCUCGAAUACGUUAGCAUGGAAUAAUAGAAUAGGACGUGCGGUCCUAUUUUGUUGGUUUCUAGGACCGCCGUAAUGAUUAAUAGGGACAGUCGGGGGCAUCAGUAUUCAAUUGUCAGAGGUGAAAUUCUUGGAUUUAUUGAAGACUAACUACUGCGAAAGCAUUUGCCAAGGAUGUUUUCAUUAAUCAGUGAACGAAAGUUAGGGGAUCGAAGACGAUCAGAUACCGUCGUAGUCUUAACCGUAAACUAUGCCGACUAGGGAUCGGGCGAUGUUCUUUUUCUGACUCGCUCGGCACCUUACGAGAAAUCAAAGUUUUUGGGUCUGGGGGGAGUAUGGUCGCAAGGCUGA